rnacentral:rRNA from 1 species
UACAGAGGGUGCAAGCGUUAAUCGGAAUUACUGGGCGUAAAGCGCGCGUAGGUGGUUUGUUAAGUUGGAUGUGAAAUCCCCGGGCUCAACCUGGGAACUGCAUUCAAACUGACUGACUAGAGUAUGGUAGAGGGUGGUGGAAUUUCCUGUGUAGCGGUGAAAUGCGUAGAUAUAGGAAGGAACACCAGUGGCGAAGGCGACCACCUGGACUGAUACUGACACUGAGGUGCGAAAGCGUGGGAGCAAACAGG